rnacentral:tRNA from 3 species
CCGUCACUAGCUCAUCAGGAAAGAGCAUCAACCUUUUUAUGUUGAGAAUGCGGGGUUCGAGUCCCCGGUGACGGUCCA